GUCUUUGCCCGCGAACCAACGGUUCUGGAGGCCGUGGUUAACUGGGAGCGUCCAUCUGGAUGGACCUGGGUCCCACCCAGACCAGCAACCCUACAUAACUGUGUGGCAAGACCUCGUCCAGAAUUCACCCCCAUGGAUCAAACCGUGGAUCCCAAAACGGAAGCCAGGUUCUCGAGCCCUGGCUCUCCGCAGACCAAAAGUGAAACCCAAGGAUCCUCCUGAAAAGGAGCCUUUGCCUGGGCCCUCAGCUCUCCCCAAGAUCUAUCCCGAGAUUGAAGGGCCUCCUGAGUGGCCAGAACCUCCUCCUCCCUAUCCCCUGCCCCCUCCAGCUUCCACGCCUCCACAGCUUCCAGAGCCCGGCCCUGGGGCUGGUGGCGGCACAGUUGGAGGACCGGCGGCUGGGACCCAAAGCCGGAGCGCACAGAGUCUCUCCGCAGAUGGGGUUCCUGACACCAUGUCUGCCUUUCCUUUGUGUGCAGUGGGACCAGCGGCAGACCUGCACUCUCUCCAGACUCUUCAGUAUUGGCCAUUCUCAUCAGCUGAUCUCUAUAACUGGAAAUCCUACUUUUUCAGAAAAUCCAGCUGGACUAACCAGCCUGGUGGAGUCAUUAAUGUUAUCUCAUCAGCCCACUUAGGAUGAUUGCCAACAGCUUUUGCAUGUUCUUUUUACCACAGAAGAAAAAGAAAGAAUCCUCUUAAGGGCUCAGAAGACUGUCUCAGGGACAAACAGGGCCCCAACCAACCUGUCCAACAAGAUAAACGUGGGGUUCCCUCUCGAUAGACCAGACUGGGACUACAACACGGCUCAAGGUAGGGAGAGGUUGACAGUUUACUGCCGGGCUCUAGUGGCAGGUCUCAAGGGAGCGGCAAGAUGCCCCUCCAAUCUGGCAAAGGUAAGAGAAGCUAUGCAGGGGCCAGCUGAAACCCCGUCUGUUUUUCUAGAGAGAUUAAUGGAGGCUUACGGACGCUACACUCCCUUUGACCCGACCUCGGAGGGUCAACAAGCCGCGGUAGCUAUGGCUUUUAUAGGGCAGUCAUUAGCAGACAUUAAAAGCAAGUUACAGAGACUGGAAGGGUUACAUGCCAUGGCUUUACAGGACUUAGAGAGGCAGAGAAAGUGUUUACAAGGAGAGAAACAGAGGGAGAAAAGAAAGAGAGAGAAGCAUGAGGAAUAAAGAAAGAAAAAUAGGAGGGAUCAGAGGCAGGAGAGAAAUUUAAGCAGGAUCCUGGCUGCAGUAGUAGAAGAGCGUGAGGGAAGAGGUAGAUCUGAGAGUAGACAAACAGGGUACCUGGGCAACAGGGAACCUAGACCUUGUGGAAGAAAACCCGUUCAGAAAACUCUGGAAAAGGACCAAUAUGCAUAGUGCAAAGAGAAGGGACAUUGGGCGCGAGAAUGCCCAUGAAGAGUGGGAAAUGCCCCUAAGGUCAUGACUCUCGAAGAUGAUGACUAGGGGAAAUGGGGCUCAGACCUCCUCCCCAAGCCUAGGGUAACCCUGACUGUGGGAGGGGACUCCUAUGGACUUUCUAGUAUAUACCGGGGUAGAACACUCUGUGUUGAAACAACCAUUGGGGAAGCUCAAAAAC
rnacentral:lncRNA from 1 species